rnacentral:rRNA from 1 species
CGGUUUAGUGGCGAACGGGUGAGUAACACGUGAGGAACCUGCCCCGAAGACCGGGAUAACCCUCCGAAGGAGAGCUAAUACCGGAUACCCCACCGAACCGCAUGGUCUGGUGAGGAAAUGGAUUCCGCUUCGGGAGGGCCUCGCGGCCUAUCAGCUUGUUGGUGGGGUAACGGCCCACCAAGGCAUCGACGGGUAGCUGGUCUGAGAGGACGAUCAGCCACACUGGGACUGAGACACGGCCCAG